UGGGGAAUAUUGCGCAAUGGGGGAAACCCUGACGCAGCAACGCCGCGUGAAGGAUGAAGGUUUUCGGAUCGUAAACUUCUUUGAUGAGGGAAGAACAAUGACGGUACCUCAAAAACAAGCCACGGCUAACUACGUGCCAGCAGCCGCGGUAAUACGUAGGCAGCGAGCGUUGUUCGGAGUUACUGGGCGUAAAGGGUGUGUAGGCGGUUGCUUAAGUUUGGUGUGAAAUCUCCCGGCUCAACUGGGAGGGUGCGCCGAAUACUGAGCGGCUAGAGUGCGGGAGAGGAGAGUGGAAUUCCUGGUGUAGCGGUGAAAUGCGUAGAUAUCAGGAGGAACACCGGUGGUGUAGACGGCUCUCUGGACCGUAACUGACGCUGAGACACGAAAGCGUGGGUAGCAAACAGG
rnacentral:rRNA from 1 species